rnacentral:rRNA from 1 species
AUUGAACGCUGGCGGCAGGCUUAACACAUGCAAGUCGAACGGUAACAUAAGAAAAGCUUGCUUUUCUUGAUGACGAGUGGCGGACGGGUGAGUAAUGCUUGGGAAUCUGCCUUAUGGAGGGGGAUAACCACGGGAAACUGUGGCUAAUACCGCGUAAUAUCUACGGAUUAAAGUGUGGGACCUUCGGGCCACAUGCCAUAAGAUGAGCCCAAGUGAGAUUAGGUAGUUGGUGAGGUAAAGGCUCACCAAGCUGACGAUCUCUAGCUGGUUUGAGAGGAUGACCAGCCACACUGGGACUGAGACACGGCCCAGACUCCUACGGGAGGCAGCAGUGGGGAAUAUUGCACAAUGGGCGCAAGCCUGAUGCAGCCAUGCCGCGUGAAUGAAGAAGGCUUUCGGGUUGUAAAGUUCUUUCAUUAGUGAGAAAGGUACAAAUGUUAAUAGCAUUUGUGAUUGAUGUUAGCUAAAGAAGAAGCACCGGCUAACUCCGUGCCAGCAGCCGCGGUAAUACGGAGGGUGCGAGCGUUAAUCGGAAUAACUGGGCGUAAAGGGCAUGCAGGCGGUUAUUUAAGUCAGAUGUGAAAGCCCCGGGCUUAACUUGGGAAUUGCAUUUGAUACUGGGUAACUAGAGUCCUCUAGGGAGGGGUAGAAUUCCACGUGUAGCGGUGAAAUGCGUAGAGAUGUGGAGGAAUACCGAAGGCGAAGGCAGCCCCUUGGAGAGAGACUGACGCUCAUAUGCGAAAGCGUGGGUAGCAAACAGG